UCGGAUGAUGCCAUACCCAACGCUGCCACCUUAGCAAGCCAACAAUAAAGAAGCUAUGCUAAAGCACACACGAUGGAUUGACAGUCAUUCGCACAGAUAAAUCUUAGCAAUGAGGCCUAAUGGCACUCAACCAAUAAUAUACACUGCAUCCACAAGCACUCAAGGCAUCGAUGGUCUUUCCUUGGGGAGAUGGGGGCAAAAGCCAGACAAUCAUCCAAGAGGCCAUAGGCGCCACUAUGCACCCACUCCUAUACCGCACAUAACGGAGGGAGGGGAGAGAGAGUAUAGCACCGAGUCAUAUUUCAUUGAUUAAAGACUAUGUACAUAAUACAGGCAAAACUCAUGGUACCAAUAGCAUCAAUGGACCAUAUAAUGAAGGGUUGCACUAAUUUCGGUUGGGUACACAAGGCACAGAGCCCGCCAUUACAUGCAACAACUAAACCACUUAUAUGCCGACACGGUCAUUCUAUGUACAUUGCCUUAUCGCCCGCAUGCGUUCAUAUC
rnacentral:misc_RNA from 1 species